UGAUUUCACGCAUUUUUUCAGUUUAAUUAAUUAACGGAACCAAACCCAAAAAUCUCUCUCAAUUCUGAUUUCUGAAGCUCUCAUAAGAGAGAUUAAGGAAAGCCCAAAACCCUUUCUCACUCUCUCUCAAUUCAGAAACAAAAACCCGCUAACGUAACUCACCGGCGAUGAAACGGAACUCACCGUUGGAAGAGAACUAAUCGGCGUCUCUGAAGAGGAGAGGGCUACGUGUGGAGGUGCGACGUUGAUGAUUCAAGAAACCCUCGAUGACGAGAAACUGCAAAACAACAACUGCUGCAUCGUGAUCCUUCACUUCCACCAGAAAUGGGUUUUGAUUUAAUCUAUUUGUGAUUUGGCUGUUCUAAUAUCAGCCGAUUAUAGAGACAAAAUGAACUGAACCAAGAUCUAGGUUCCUGGUUUAACCUGUCGAAGCACCGAUUUGGUUUGAAUAGCCUUUGGUAAUUACUCUUAGUCAUAGAAUCAAAUGUUUAUUAGGUUGUCUUUAUUUACUUGCCUACAUAUUUUUGGGUUAAUUUGGAAAAAUAAAUAGAUGAAAAAUGUAUCAGUUUUCUCAUUGACUUAGAAAUAUUUAUAUGAUUAACAUAGUAAAUAAAUUUUAGAAUUUUUAUUAAACAUUAAUACAUUACUCUUAGUAAUAUUUGAUUUAUGUUCAAAAUUGGGAUAUGAAAGUGGUAGUAUUAACAAGUGUUAGUGACAACUCAUUAUAGCCGUUAUCCUUAAGAGAGACAAUUAUAAUUAAUAGACAUGUGUUGUAUUUUAUCUAGAAUGUUAUUCCUUUGCAACUAAAACGUUCUUGGUUUUGUGCUUGAA